rnacentral:ncRNA from 1 species
AAAAGACUUAGUCCUAACCUUACUGUUAAUUCUUGCCUAACACAUACAUGCAAGUAUCCGCACCCCGGUGCAAAUGCCCUCACCCUCCCACCGAGGAAGCAGGAGCGGGUAUCAGGCACGCCACAAUCAACCGCAGCCUAAGACACCCAGCCACAGCCACACCCCCACGGGUAUUCAGCAGUAGUCAACAUUAAGCAAUAGGCGCAAGCCUGACUUAGUUAAGGCAACCCAGGGCCGGUAAAUCUUGUGCCAGCCACCGCGGUCACACAAGAGGCCCAAAUUAACCAACCUUUAAGCGGCGUAAAGUGUGGGUCCUAGACUAUCACAACCAACUAAGACCAAACCACCUACCUAAGCUGUCAUAAGCCUAUGGUAUCCCAAAGCCCAACCUAAAGAUGAUCUUAGCACCCCUGACCAAUUCCACCCCACGAAAGCUAGGGUACAAACUGGGAUUAGAUACCCCACUAUGCCUAGCCCUAAAUCCUGAUGUUUUCUAUACAUAAACAUCCGCCCGAGAACUACGAGCACAAACGCUUAAAACUCUAAGGACUUGGCGGUGCCCUAAACCCACCUAGAGGAGCCUGUUCUAUAAUCGAUAAUCCACGAUACACCCAACCACUCCUUGCCAAAACAGCCUACAUACCGCCGUCGCCAGCCCACCUCUAUGAGAGCACAACAGUGAGCCCAAAAGCCCACCAACCCGCUAGCAAGACAGGUCUAGGUAUAGCCCAUGGAGUGGAAGAAAUGGGCUACAUUUUCUAUAAUAGAAUACACCUAACGAAAAGAGGUCUGAAAUCUACCUCUAAGAAGGCGGAUUUAGCAGUAAAGAGGGACAAUCAAACCCUCUUUAAGCCGGCCCUAGGGCACGUACACACCGCCCGUCACCCUCCUCACAGGCCCCAAACCCCACUAACUAAUACAACCAACCGCCAAAGACGAGGCAAGUCGUAACAAGGUAAGUGUACCGGAAGGUGCACUUAGCAUCAU